rnacentral:rRNA from 1 species
CCCUUAGAUGUUCUGGGCUGCACGCGCGCUACACUGAUGCAUCCAACAAGUUUUUUCCUUGUUCGAGAGGACUAGGUAAUCUUAUGAGAAUGCAUCGUGAUGGGGAUAGAUUAUUGCAAUUAUUAAUCUUCAACGAGGAAUUCCUAGUAAGCGCGAGUCAUCAGCUCGUGCUGAUUACGUCCCUGCCCUUUGUACACACCGCCCGUCGCUGCAACUGAUUGGGUGACCUGGUGGACAUCUUGGACCGGCCCACUCAAUUUCGAGAGGACUGGAAAAGGCCGUAAAUCAGGUACAUCUAGAAAUUGCAAAAGUCGUAACA